UACGUAGGGUGCUAGCGUUGUCCGGAAUCAUUGGGCGUAAAGAGCGUGUAGGCGGCCAGAAAAGUCCGCUGUGAAAACUCGAGGCUCAACUUCGAGCUGUCGGUGGAAACUUUCUGGCUAGAGUCCGGAAGAGGAGAAUGGAAUUCCUGGUGUAGCGGUGAAAUGCGCAGAUAUCAGGAAGAACACCCGUGGCGAAGGCGGUUCUCUGGGACGGUACUGACGCUGAGACGCGAAAGCGUGGGGAGCGAACAGG
rnacentral:rRNA from 1 species